GUGUACUUAGCUAUCAGUGGUUAGAGCAUCCGCCUAGUGUCUGGAGUUCACAGGUUCAAAUCCUGCAGUGUGCA
rnacentral:tRNA from 1 species